rnacentral:rRNA from 1 species
UUGAUCAUGGCUCAGAAUCAACGCUGGCGGCGUGCCUCAGACAUGCAAGUCGAACGAUUAAACUUUCCUUCGGGAAAGAUAUAAAGUGGCGCACGGGUGAGUAACACGUAAGUAAUCUACCUUCGGAUGGGGAAUAACAGUCGGAAACGACUGCUAAUACCGCAUAAUGCAGCGGCACCUAAUGGUGACAGUUGUUAAAGUAUUUAUACGUCUGAAGAGGAGCUUGCGGCAGAUUAGCUAGUUGGUAAGGUAAUGGCUUACCAAGGCGACGAUCUGUAGCCGACCUGAGAGGGUGGUCGGUCACACUGACACUGAAUAACGGGUCAGACUCCUACGGGAGGCAGCAGUCGGGAAUUUUGGGCAAUGGGCGAAAGCCUGACCCAGCAACGCCGCGUGAAGGAUGAAGUCUCUCGGGAUGUAAACUUCGUAAAAAUAGGAAGAAUAAAUGACGGUACUAUUUGUAAGGUCCGGCUAACUACGUGCCAGCAGCCGCGGUAAUACGUAGGGACCAAGCGUUGUUCGGAUUUACUGGGCGUAAAGGGCGCGUAGGCGGCGUGACAAGUCACUUGUGAAAUCUCCGGGCUUAACUCGGAACGGUCAAGUGAUACUGUUGUGCUAGAGUGCAGAAGGGGCAAUCGGAAUUCUUGGUGUAGCGGUGAAAUGCGUAGAUAUCAAGAGGAACACCUGAGGUGAAGACGGG